GACGAACGCUGGCGGCGUGCCUAAUACAUGCAAGUCGAGCGGAACUUGUGAAAAGCUUGCUUUUCAUUUGUUUAGCGGCGGACGGGUGAGUAACACGUGGGCAACCUGCCUGUAAGACUGGGAUAACUUCGGGAAACCGAAGCUAGUACCGGAUACGACUUUCUCUUGCAUGAGAGGAAGAGGAAAGACUGAGAGUCGCUUACAGAUGGGCCCGCGGCGCAUUAGCUAGUUGGUGAGGUAACGGCUCACCAAGGCGACGAUGCGUAGCCGACCUGAAAGGGUGAUCGGCCACACUGGGACUGAGACACGGCCCAGACUCCUACGGGAGGCAGUAGUAGGGAAUCUUCGGCAAUGGACGGAAGUCUGACCGAGCAACGCCGCGUGAGCGAAGAAGGCCUUCGGGUUGUAAAGCUCUGUCAUGAGGGAAGAACGGCUCGGGUGGCCCCGAGAGUGACGGUACCUCAGGAGGAAGCCCCGGCUAACUACGUGCCAGCCGCCGCGGUAAUAC
rnacentral:rRNA from 1 species